GAUCAGCUCAGCCCUGGCAGAAAGCCAAGCAGGUAGGAGUCGUGCUGAGCCGUGUGGCUUCAGAUCAGCAGAAACGGCAGCAGGCGCAGAGACCACCUGGUUUGGGGGAACGUGGAUCCUAUAAAGAUGACGCGACUCCUAAGACCAGUACAUUCUUCCAAGGCGGCUCCUUUCACCUUGACUGCCCUGCCUGGAGGAGAUCAUAGAUCUCAGUGAGAGAGUUGUUUUGUUCACAGAGCUUUCUGGAUCAUAUUUUAUCUUUUCCUCAAGUGACUCGAUUCUUUUUUCCUGAGAACUUGGAGAUGAUUUGUUUAAAACUUUUCAUUGCUAACUUCUUCAAAAGUAAUGAACAUGAGUAAUAA